rnacentral:rRNA from 1 species
UACGUAGGGUGCGAGCGUUAAUCGGAAUUACUGGGCGUAAAGCGUGCGCAGGCGGUUGUGCAAGACCGAUGUGAAAUCCCCGGGCUUAACCUGGGAAUGGCAUUGGUGACUGCACGGCUAGAGUGUGUCAGAGGGGGGUAGAAUUCCACGUGUAGCAGUGAAAUGCGUAGAGAUGUGGAGGAAUACCGAUGGCGAAGGCAGCCCCCUGGGAUAACACUGACGCUCAUGCAACGAAAGCGCGGGGAGCAAACAGG